GACGAACGCUGGCGGCGUGCUUAACACAUGCAAGUCGAACGAAGAGCGAUGGAAGCUUGCUUCUUUCAAUCUUAGUGGCGCACGGGUGAGUAACGCGUAAUCAACCUGCCCUUCAGAGGGGGACAACAGUUGGAAACGACUGCUAAUACCGUAUUCGUUUUAAACUCGGCAUCGAGGAUAGAUGAAAGGUGUUGCCUACAUGUAAGCUUUCACUCACGGUGGGUUUUGCGUCUGAUUAGCUAGCUGGAGGGGAAAGGGCCCAACAAGGCGAAGAAUAGGAGCCGGUCCGAGGGGAUGAACCGCCAACUUGGGACUGGGACAAGGCCCAGGCUCCUACGGGGGGGAGCAGGGGGGGAUCUUCCGCAAUGGACGGAAGGCUGGCGGGGGAACGCCGCGGGAGGGAUGGCGGCCUUCGGGUUGUUAAGCUCUGUUAAUCGGGGCGAAAGGCAUUCUUGCGAAUAGUGAGAAGGAUUGACGGUACCGGAAUAGAAAGCCACGGCUAACUACGUG
rnacentral:rRNA from 1 species